GUUUGUGAAGCUGAGAAGCAGCAGUAAAAUUCAGGUUCAGUGGUCUGCUUAUACACAGUGGUAUUGUUAGAUCCAAAUUGGUGGGCUAGCAGUGACUUGCUAAGAUUUAUGUGCCCUGUUUUUCUAGAGUUUUGCAAUAUUUCAGUGUUUUUAUGUACCUGUUUGUAUGUUAUCUCACCUUCACUAGAUGCGCACCACCUUAGUAUUAUUUGCUAUCUAUGCUUUGUAUGGUGCCAUAGCAGAUUGACUUCCAGUGUGCCCAUAUAAGCAUAUUUCUUUAUGGUUAUUAGUAGUGCUUCAUCAGCUUCAUCUCAUCAAGGCAACAGUACCUGCUAGGCUGCUACAGAUUCUUGUGCUGAGUGUCCAAAAUCGUCUUCCUGAGGCUUUUCCAUCCAGAUGGGGGUCAAGCUCAACCACCAUGUUAGCAAAUAUAUUUAGCGCCUGGUGAUGGCCUGGCACGUCCGGCCUCCCAGCCUGUCACACACAGCACAACCAGCUUACCCCUCCCAGGAUUCUGUUUCUAUAAGUCCGGAGGUGGAUUGCCUUGGUUGUUUGUCUGUAUAUGUAAUUGGUAACCCCUCAAUCAAUCUAUCGAUUACGUGUGAUAUUCCACGCUA